GACGAACGCUGGCGGCGUGCUUAACACAUGCAAGUCGAACGGAAAGGCCCUGCUUUUGUGGGGGGCUCGAGUGGCGAACGGGGGGGUAACACGUGAGUAACCUGCCCUUGACUUUGGGAUAACUUCAGGAAACGGGGGCUAAUACCGGAUAGGAGCUCCUGCUGCAUGGUGGGGGUUGGAAAGUUUCGGCGGUUGGGGAUGGACUCGCGGCUUAUCAGCUUGUUGGUGGGGUAGUGGCUUACCAAGGCUUUGACGGGUAGCCGGCCUGAGAGGGUGACCGGCCACAUUGGGACUGAGAUACGGCCCAGACUCCUACGGGAGGCAGCAGUGGGGAAUAUUGCACAACGGGCGGAAGCCUGAUGCAGCAACGCCGCGUGCGGGAUGACGGCCUUCGGGUUGUAAACCGCUUUCGCCUGUGACGAAGCGUGAGUGACGGUAAUGGGUAAAGAAGCACCGGCUAACUACGUG
rnacentral:rRNA from 1 species